GAUGAAGAACGCAGCGAAAUGCGAUAAGUAGUGUGAAUUGCAGAAUUCAGUGAAUCAUCGAAUCUUUGAACGCACAUUGCGCCCCUUGGUAUCCCGAGGGGCAUACCUGUUCGAGCGUCAUUUCACCACUCAAGCCUGGCUUGGUGUUGGGCGACGUCCUCUUUGGGGACGCGCCUCGAAACGCUCGGCGGCGUGGCACCGGCUUUAAGCGUAGCAGAAUCUUUCGCUUUGGAAGUCGGGGCCCCGUCUGCCGGAAGACCUGCUCGCAAGGUUGACCUCGGAUCAGGCAGGGAUACCCGCUGAACUUAAGCAUAUCAAUAAGCGGAGGA
rnacentral:misc_RNA from 1 species